rnacentral:rRNA from 1 species
GACGAACGCUGGCGGCGUGCUUAACACAUGCAAGUCGAGCGGCGCGGCGAACGGGUGAGUAACGCGUGAGUAACUGCCCCCCUCUUCGGGAUAACAGUUGGCAACGGCUGCUAAUCCCGGAUAGUGGGGGGGGACUCGCGUCCUUUCAGCUUGUUGGUUGGGGAGUGGCCUACCAAGGGGACGACGGUUAGCCGGCCUGAGAGGGCGACCGGCCACAUGGGGCUGAGAUACGGCCCCAACUCCUACGGGGGGCAGCAGGGAGGAAUAGUGCACGAUGGGGGAACCCCUGAUGCAGCAACGCCGCGUGCGGGAUGACGGCCUUCGGGUUGUAAACCGCUUUCAGCCAUGACGCGGUAGUGGCAGAAGAAGCACCGGCUAACUACGUGCCAGCAGCCGCGGUAAUUC